rnacentral:rRNA from 1 species
UACGUAGGGGGCAAGCGUUGUCCGGAAUCAUUGGGCGUAAAGAGCGCGUAGGCGGCCCGAUAAGUCCGCUGUGAAAGUCAAGGGCUCAACCCUUGAAUGCCGGUGGAUACUGUCGGGCUAGAGUCCGGAAGAGGCGAGUGGAAUUCCUGGUGUAGCGGCGAAAUGCGCAGAUAUCGGGAGGAACACCGGUGGCGAAGGCGGCGACCUGGGUAGAUACUGACGCUGAGGUGCGAAAGCGUGGGGAGCAAACAGG